GGCUACCAGUAACCGCCCACUUCCCCAAAACCUGCCACGCUUGAACGGCUCUCAAUCCCAACCCUAACAGCACCGUCUCUCGGAUCUGAUCUGAUCUGAUCCUCCAAUUCGUUCGUCCACGUCUCGCCAUGGAGGACGAGGAACUUGUUGAUCAGAAGAAAUAUCUUGAGGAACGAUGCAAGCCGCAAUGUGUAAAAUCACUUUACGAAUAUGAGAAAUGCGUCAAGAGAGUUGAGAAUGAUGAUACUGGUCACAAACACUGCACUGGGCAAUACUUUGAUUACUGGUCAUGCAUCGACAAAUGUGUAGCAUCAAAGCUCUUUAAGAAGCUCAAAUGAUUUGUGCGAUGUGAUGCGACUUCUGACAAAGUGAAUCGAAUUUGCAUACCUUACACCUUUGGAAAGUAGCACUGGAAAUUUGACUUCUCUUCAGGAUGUGUUUGGUUCAAGUGUGUGGAUGUGUUUGGUUCAAGUGUGUGAGAAAAAAACUGAAAGUUGUUUGAUUUAAACUAUUGUAAGUUAUCUAUUGUAAGUAAA